GAUGAAGAACGUAGCGAGAUGCGAUACGUAAUGUGAAUUGCAGAAUUCAGUGAAUCAUCGAGUCUUUGAACGCACAUUGCGCCCCCUGGUAUUCCGGGGGGCAUGCCUGUCCGAGCGUCAUUGCUGCCCUCAAGCACGGCUUGUGUGUUGGGCCUCCGUCCUCCUCCCGGGGGACGGGCCCGAAAGGCAGCGGCGGCACCGCGUCCGGUCCUCGAGCGUAUGGGGCUUCGUCACCCGCUCUUGUAGGCCCGGCCGGCGCUUGCCGACACAUCAAUCUUUUUUCCAGGUUGACCUCGGAUCAGGUAGGGAUACCCGCUGAACUUAAGCAUAUCAAUAAGCGGAGGA
rnacentral:misc_RNA from 1 species